GAAAUCCCCCCUACCGGCUCAUCAAGGAUGUGGACAAUUUCACUAUUAUGGAGUCAUUCCUUUGUAUUUACUGUGGGCUCCCUGCUGGCUGUCUCUCGAAAUGCAGAACACAUCACAACCAUCAGCCCUGGAAUGCAAAGACCAGAAUAAACCUGAGGAAACCUCCAACCGAGCCGGGCAGUUUCAGUUUCCACCCCAAAUGCAGGGCUGUAGCAGCGGCCAGGAAGAAAACCGCCCCCUCUGAA